CCUGGUACAAAGUGGAGAGUCCCCUGGCUUAGAAAACAGGUGGGAGAGCCGGGAGGAGGAGGAGGAGGAGGUGGUGAAGGGGGGGAGUGAAGGUGAGGGGGAGUGGUGGGGAGGGGGUUAUGCGCCUAGGGGUGUGGUGCCAUCCCGGACUUUAAAACGCGCUGAGCGGCCAAGUUGUCCGUGACUUUUUACGACAGAGAGAAGAGUGAACAGAGCGCCCUCCCUCCCUCCCUCCUCCUCCUCCUCUCUCUCCCUCCCUCCUCCCUCUCCUCUACGCUGUGACUCAGUCCUUCUGGUAGCGCUGGCAGAGCUCCCUCCCUCCCUCCCCCGUCUCCCCUGUACUUUACUCUAACAAUCACCCUCUUUCUUCCCCACUUCUCUUUGUCGCACCUUCUCCAAAAUCAGCUCUAAUUCUUUUUAAA